rnacentral:rRNA from 1 species
AACUUUUAACAACGGAUCUCUUGGUUCUCGCAUCGAUGAAGAACGUAGCAAAGUGCGAUAACUAGUGUGAAUUGCAUAUUCAGGGAAUCAUCGAGUCUUUGAACGCAUCUUGCACUCAUUGGUAUUCCAAUGAGUACGCCUGUUUCAGUA